UACGGGGGGAACAAGCGUUGUUCGGAAUUACUGGGUUUAAAGCGCGCGCAGGCGGAAUGGCAAGUCUGGUCGUGAAAUCCUCCGGCUUAACCGGAGAAUGGCGCUGGAAACUGCUGUUCUAGAGUGCGGAGGAGGAAAGUAGAAUUCACGGUGUAGCGGUGAAAUGCGUAGAUAUCGUGAGGAAUACCGGUGGCGAAGGCGGCUUUCUGGUCCGCAACUGACGCUCAGGCGCGAAGGCUAGGGGAGCAAACAGG
rnacentral:rRNA from 1 species